rnacentral:rRNA from 1 species
AUUGAACGCUGGCGGAAUGCUUUACACAUGCAAGUCGAACGGUAGAGGGGGCAACCCCUUGAGAGUGGCGAACGGGUGAGUAAUGUAUCGGAACGUGCCCAGUCGUGGGGGAUAACGUAGUGAAAAUUACGCUAAUACCGCAUACGAUCUAUGGAUGAAAGCGGGGGAUCGCAAGACCUCGCGCGAUUGGAGCGGCCGAUAUCAGAUUAGGUAGUUGGUGGGGUAAAGGCUCACCAAGCCAACGAUCUGUAGCUGGUCUGAGAGGACGACCAGCCACACUGGAACUGAGACACGGUCCAGACUCCUACGGGAGGCAGCAGUGGGGAAUUUUGGACAAUGGACGCAAGUCUGAUCCAGCCAUUCCGCGUGCAGGACGAAGGCCUUCGGGUUGUAAACUGCUUUUGUACGGAACGAAAAAGCUCUUAUUAAUACUAGGAGUCCAUGACGGUACCGUAAGAAUAAGCACCGGCUAACUACGUGCCAGCAGCCGCGGUAAUACGUAGGGUGCAAGCGUUAAUCGGAAUUACUGGGCGUAAAGCGUGCGCAGGCGGUUAUAUAAGACAGAUGUGAAAUCCCCGAGCUUAACUUGGGAACUGCAUUUGUGACUGUAUAGCUAGAGUACGGCAGAGGGGGAUGGAAUUCCGCGUGUAGCAGUGAAAUGCGUAGAUAUGCGGAGGAACACCGAUGGCGAAGGCAGUCCCCUGGGCC